GACAGAGGGUGCAAACGUUGCUCGGAAUUACUGGGCGUAAAGCGCGUGUAGGCGGUGCCGCACGUCGGGUGUGAAAGCCCGGGGCUCAACCCCGGAAGUGCACUCGAUACGACGGCGCUGGAGUCCUGAAGAGGAGAGCGGAAUUCCCGGUGUAGAGGUGAAAUUCGUAGAUAUCGGGAGGAACACCAGUGGCGAAGGCGGCUCUCUGGACAGGUACUGACGCUGAGACGCGAAAGCGUGGGUAGCAAACAGGAUUAGAUACCCUGGUAGUCCACGCCGUAAACGAUGAGUGCUGGGUGUCGCGGGUAUUGACCCCCGCGGUGCCGAAGCCAACGCGUUAAGCACUCCGCCUGGGAAGUACGGCCGCAAGGCUAAA
rnacentral:rRNA from 1 species